ACUAAUUUGUUCUCCUCAAUUAGUCCGAUUGCCUUCGCUUCCUUCUCCACCACCCUCCCCGUCUCCUUCCUUUUUUCCGUCUCCCUCCCUGCUCUCCGGCCGACGGAUCCCUACGCCUCUGCGUCCCGCUUUUACGCAGAGCACCGGAGUCUCUCCUUCCGAGCGCCUCCGUCGCCCCUCCUCCUUCCUUUGGCCGUCUCCGUUUCCGAGGUCGUUCUCUCCUUCCUCCGUCGCCUAACCGAUCGCCCCGCCAUUCCUAAUCCGGAGGAGCUAUCUCAGCAUCUCUCACUCCAAGGGACCUGGGACUUCGGAUCCCUUUUCUAUGCCGUUCGGCGGGUGGCCCGCCCGGCCGUCAGGCUACCUCAACACCCCGCUCACGGUGGUGGCAGCCGGGAUGGCGAAGUGGCUUGUAUUCUACAACGGCGUGCUGAUGGUUAGGGUUCAGUUGGUUCCCCAACAUUCCUUGGGACCGACAUCCUCCCUCCGCAAUCAGGGAUCUCCGCGAUCCGUAUCUCAAUAUCUUCAGGAACAUCAUCCAGAACUGUCUUGGGAACUCUCGGGCCGAUUAUCAACAGCAGCCGGAUGAUGAAGUAUUGAAGAUCUGGCAGAGAAGAAAAACUUGCUGUGAAGAAUAAGCUUCAGAAUCUGAUAUAUAUACAUCACUGUACAAGACAAGAGCUUCACCAUGUGAGAGUUACUAAUUAUCAGGCAAAAGUGGAAGACGAGGUACACUAGAACCCGAAUUCCAUCCGUGUAGAGAAUUAAGAUCCAUCUCUUGUGCUUGCUCGCUUAAAUGCACUCCAGGGCUCUUCGCGGAUGAGCUGUUCUUAUUGACCUUCGUGGGAAGAAUCUGCAGCCUGGAGUUCAGCUCUGUUCCUGAUCUCUUUGCGGCCAAUUGGUAGCUUUCGACGAGCUCAAGUUGACGAGUAAUUAUCUCGGAACAUCUUGGGAGGAGCUCUACAGGUUCUCCGCCAGGAAUUACAAUGUACUCGAUAGCCAUUCGAACCUCCUGCGGUAGUAUCAGUAAGAACAAAGCGCUGUAAGGGCACUGGCAAACCGAGGAAGCAGAACACCAAUUGUUUACCUUGAUUACAAAUACAGGCAGGUGGUGGAACUUUGCGACACUGCGAAUCCAAGGAUUUUGCUUCAUUUCGGAACUUGAUGCUAAAAUUGCAUUUGCUGUUCCAAUGUCUUCAGUCACAUGAAUAUCAUCCUCAUAGCCCAUCACAGUUGCUACUUGCAGCAGGUCAGCUUCCAAAGUCUUAACAAUGAAUGGAAAUAAGCAUCAAUUGAUCCAAUACAGUAAAUUAUUUAAUGACAAUGAAUGAAGGACAUGUUGAAAACUGAAAAUGGAAGGCAAUUGAAUUGUCUGGUGACUACCUUAAAAGUAUAAACACGAACUGGCGAUCUCCUUGGUGUAUAUGAAUUGCUUCUUGCUUUCUUGUUAUAUCCAGCAUUGUCAUUUCCAUCAUCAACAUCCUUUUUAGAACUAACAAAUGGUUCCUCUUCAUGAAACUCCUGUGGAGCCGGAGAAGAGUUGCUCAAUUCGCCUUUUGGAUCAAUCUUACGUGUUUCAAAGGGAGGAGUUUUCCCUGUAUUCACAAAAGAAUGACCAAGACAAUGAAAUAUUUUCUGAAACAGGAAUUUGAAGAACAGGCUGACAAUUAAGGAGAGGAAAUAUAUAUAUAUAUAUAUAUAUAUAGAGAGAGAGAGAGAGAGAGAGAGAGAGAGAGAGAGAGACCUGCUAGAAUGGCGUCUACUGUAGCUUCUAGUUUGUGAUGAACUCGGCACUCAGUUUUUGAUAUCAUCUCAACAGCACAGGUAAAUGUAGGUGGUCCUUUUCUUUCAAGUAUUGUCUUUUGCACUUUCCUUUUUCUAGCUUCUUCAUCACCAAGUGUCACACUCUACAUCAGAACAAGUUCAAAGUAGCCUUUAUAUGUGCAAAUUGAUUAAUAUGAUACAUAUUUUUUUAUCUCAUGCAAGAAGAUCUAUUAUUUCACAGUUGCAUCAUAUUUAGUCACUAAGAUCUAUACUGACAAGGACAUAAAGCACUACCUCUAUCCCACCAACAAGUGUCUGUAGGCAAGGAUUUUUAAUUAUGCUCUCAAUUGUUACCCCGUGAGCUGUUCCAACAAGCUGAACUCCUCUUUGAGCUAUAGUACUUGCUGCCAUAGCUUCAAGUUCUGUUCCAAUUUCAUCAAUUAUAAUGACCUCGGGCAUAUGAUUCUCAACUGCUUCAAUCAUGACCUAGUCGCAGCAGCACAACAUAAGUGAAGAACUCCAUAAAUGAGGCAAAGUGGCAGUGGUGCACUUACAUUGUGUUGCAUGCUAACGUUUGGAACUUGCAUUCUCCUUGCGAGACCAAUUCCUGAAUGAGUAAAAAAGGAAGAAAAUGAAAGGGCAUGAGUUACCUGAUCAACGUAGUCUUCCCAACUCCAGGAGGGCCAAUCACUAAGAUAGAACCUCCAUCUUCAACUAAAUCACGGAUCAUCUCUGCGCUCCCGGCGAUAGCCCGGCC